UAUGUUUUAGUAUAUGUUUUAUAUUAAUUUUUGAUAUUAAAGAAAAUAGUUAAAUUCUAUUAAACAUAA
rnacentral:tRNA from 6 species